UGAGGGAAAGUUGCAAAGAACUUUGAAGAGAGAGUUCAAGAGUACGUGAAACUGCUCAGGGGCAAACGGGUGGGCCCUCGAAGUCUGAGCGGAGAGGGAUUCAGUCCCCGGUGACGGGGGGCGAGACGCCGGGGGAUCUCUAGGGUGAGACUCCCGGCGACCGGUCCGUCUCGGUACCGGGGACGCAGUUCUCUCUCCCGUUGGACGCCGCAGCCUCUCGGAGGUCGGCAGUAAAGGCAAUGUAGGUAGGUGGCGUGGGCGUCGGUCUCCGCACCGGCGCCCCGUGUCUGGCCGCAAAGGUUCCAGGCGCGACUCCCGAGAGAGGGAGAGAGUCUCGUACGCGAGACUGGCCGUUGCCUCGCCCAGGCGAGCGGCGUGCGGGUAUCAGGGACGCUGAGUGGCUCCCGGCGCUUCACCGCGCGGUGUCGCCGGGCUCGCGGUACCCGUUGGGUCCCGCACAGCCGCGGCGCAGUGCAAAACGGCUUGCGGCGAGUAGGUCGGUAACCCACCCGACCCGUCUUGAAACACGGACCAAGGAGUCUAACAUGUGCGCGAGUCAGUGGGACUCGAUCAAGCCCACGGGCAGAACGAAAGUGAGAAGGUGUCGGGAUCCACGUCCGCGAGGACGGGGCGCACCGACGGCCUGGGCAACCCAUAAUUACUUGGGCCCCGGAGCCAGAGCGUACACGUUGGGACCCGAAAGAUGGUGAACUAUGCCCGGGCAGGUUGAAGCUAGAGGAAACUCUGGUGGAGGACCGCAGCGGUUCUGACGUGCAAAUCGAUCGUCGAACCUAGG
rnacentral:rRNA from 1 species